rnacentral:lncRNA from 1 species
AUGUGGAGACUAUAUACAGGGGGUACUGGUACAGAGUCAAUGUGGAGACUAUAUACAGGGGGUACUGGUACAGAGUCAAUGUGGAGACUAUAUACAGGGAGUACUGGUACAAUGUGGAGACUAUAUACAGGGGGUACUGGUACAAUGUGGAGACUAUAUACAGGGGGUACUGGUACAAUGUGGAGACUAUAUACAGGGGGUACUGGUACAAUGUGGAGACUAUAUACAGGGGGUACUGGUACAAUGUGGAGACUAUAUACAGGGGGUACUGGUACAAUGUGGAGACUAUAUACAGGGGGUACUGGUACAAUGUGGAGACUAUAUACAGGGGGUCCUGGUACAAUGUGGAGACUCUAUACAGGGGGUACUGGUACAAUGUGGAGACUAUAUACAGGGGGUACUGGUACAAUGUGGAGACUAUAUACAGGGGGUACUGGUACAAUGUGGAGACUAUAUACAGGGAGUACUGGUACAAUGUGGAGACUAUAUACAGGGGGUACUGGUACAAUGUGGAGACUAUAUACAGGGGGUACUGGUACAAUGUGGAGACUAUAUACAGGGGGUACUGGUACAAUGUGGAGACUAUAUACAGGGGGUACCAGUACAGAGUCAAUGUGGAGGCUAUAUACAGGGGGUACCGGUACAAUGUGGAGACUAUAUACAGGAGGUACCGGUACAGAGUCAAUGUGGAGACUAUAUACAGGGGGUACUGGUACAAUGUGGAGACUAUAUACAGGGGGUACCGGUACAGAGUCAACGUGGAGGCUAUAUACAGGGGGUACCAGUACAGAGUUAAUGUGGAGACUAUAUACAGGAGGUACCGGUACAGAGUCCAUGUGGAGACUAUAUACAGGGGGUACCGGUACAGAGUCAAUGUGGAGGCUAUAUACAGGGGGUACUGGUACAGAGUCAAUGUGGAGGCUAUAUACAGGGGGUACCGGUACAGAGUCAAUGUGGAGGAUAUAUACAGGGGGUACCGGUACAGAGUCAACGUGGAGGCUAUAUACAGGGGGUACCAGUACAGAGUUAAUGUGGAGACUAUAUACAGGAGGUACCGGUACAGAGUCCAUGUGGAGACUAUAUACAGGGGGUACCGGUACAGAGUCAAUGUGGAGGCUAUAUACAGGAGGUACCGGUACAGAGUCAAUGUGGAGACUAUAUACAGGGGGUACUGGUACAGAGUCAAUGUGGAGGCUAUAUACAGGGGGUACCGGUACAGAGUCAAUGUGGAGGAUAUAUACAGGGGGUACCGGUACAGAGUCAAUGUAG